UGGGGAAUAUUGGACAAUGGGCGCAAGCCUGAUCCAGCAAUGCCGCGUGUGUGAAGAAGGCCUUCGGGUUGUAAAGCACUUUUAUCAGGAGCGAAACGCUGUCGGCUAAUACCCGGCGGAACUGACGGUACCUGAGGAAUAAGCACCGGCUAACUUCGUGCCAGCAGCCGCGGUAAUACGAAGGGUGCAAGCGUUAAUCGGAAUUACUGGGCGUAAAGCGUGCGUAGGCGGUUUCUUAAGUCUGCUGUGAAAUCCCCGGGCUCAACCUGGGAAUGGCAGUGGAUACUGGGAGGCUAGAGUGUGUCAGAGGGUGGUGGAAUUCCCGGUGUAGCGGUGAAAUGCGUAGAGAUCGGGAGGAACAUCAGUGGCGAAGGCGGCCACCUGGGACAACACUGACGCUGAGGCACGAAAGCGUGGGGAGCAAACAGGAUUAGAUACCCUGGUAGUCCACGCCCUAAACGAUGCGAACUGGAUGUUGGUCUCAACUCGGAGAUCAGUGUCGAAGCUAACGCGUUAAGUUCGCCGCCUGGGGAGUACGGUCGCAAGACUGAAACUCAAAUGAAUUGA
rnacentral:rRNA from 1 species